GCGCAGCAGGGCAUGGAAGGGCAGUUCCGGGUGCGCUGCCAUCGCGUCGGCCGGGUAGCGCUCGGCCAGCAGUUGCAGAUUGCUGUGGCGCA
rnacentral:tRNA from 1 species